rnacentral:rRNA from 1 species
GACGAACGCUGGCGGCGUGCCUAAUACAUGCAAGUAGAACGCUGAAGGAGGAGCUUGCUUCUCUGGAUGAGUUGCGAACGGGUGAGUAACGCGUAGGUAACCUGCCUGGUAGCGGGGGAUAACUAUUGGAAACGAUAGCUAAUACCGCAUAAGAGUGGAUGUUGCAUGACAUUUACUUAAAAGGUGCAAUUGCAUCACUACCAGAUGGACCUGCGUUGUAUUAGCUAGUUGGUGGGGUAACGGCUCACCAAGGCGACGAUACAUAGCCGACCUGAGAGGGUGAUCGGCCACACUGGGACUGAGACACGGCCCAGACUCCUACGGGAGGCAGCAGUAGGGAAUCUUCGGCAAUGGACGGAAGUCUGACCGAGCAACGCCGCGUGAGUGAAGAAGGUUUUCGGAUCGUAAAGCUCUGUUGUAAGAGAAGAACGAGUGUGAGAGUGGAAAGUUCACACUGUGACGGUAUCUUACCAGAAAGGGACGGCUAACUACGUGCCAGCAGCCGCGGUAAUACGUAGGUCCCGAGCGUUGUCCGGAUUUAUUGGGCGUAAAGCGAGCGCAGGCGGUUAGAUAAGUCUGAAGUUAAAGGCUGUGGCUUAACCAUAGUACGCUUUGGAAACUGUUUAACUUGAGUGCAAGAGGGGAGAGUGGAAUUCCAUGUGUAGCGGUGAAAUGCGUAGAUAUAUGGAGGAACACCGGUGGCGAAAGCGGCUCUCUGGCUUGUAACUGACGCUGAGGCUCGAAAGCGUGGGGAGCAAACAGG